rnacentral:misc_RNA from 1 species
UUUAGUUUAUUUAUAUUUUCAGGUUUGACAUGGUUAAAAAGAAUUUGUCAAAGGCAAUUGACGGGCGCUGGACAGAGGUUAAACCCCCGGCGGUCCGGUUAAAGACGGGCCCGUCAAAGCAACGUGGUGAUUAUACAAAGGGUGGGAGGUCGGGCCUAGGAGACCCUAACUCGUUAAUGAUCCUUCCGCAGGUUCACCUACGGAAA